UACGUAGGGUGCAAGCGUUGUCCGGAAUCAUUGGGCGUAAAGGGCGCGUAGGUGGCCCGGUCAGUCUUUGGUGAAAGCGCGGGGCUCAACCCUGCGUCGGCCAGGGAUACUGCCGCGGCUCGAGCACUGUAGAGGCAGGCGGAAUUCCGGGUGUAGCGGUGGAAUGCGUAGAGAUCCGGAAGAACACCGGUGGCGAAGGCGGCCUGCUGGGCAAUUUAGCUGACACUGAGGCGCGACAGCGUGGGGAGCAAACAGG
rnacentral:rRNA from 1 species